AAUGUAUGACGCCGUUGACUUUUUUUCAACGUUUGAUCAUUCGUCUUAUUCAAAAAGUUUAUAUAAUUAUAAUUUAUUUUAUUAUGACUUGAUUUAUCAUCAAAUAUUUUUUAAGCAUGACAUAAAUAUGUUCAUAUUUACACAAAAAAUUUGAAUAAAACGAAUAGUCAAACGUUGGUCGAAAAGUCAAUGGCGUCAUACAUU
rfam:Oryza sativa Japonica Group DNA, chromosome 2, cultivar: Nipponbare, complete sequence.